rnacentral:misc_RNA from 1 species
GAUGAAGAACGUAGCGAAUUGCGAUAUGUAAUGUGAAUUGCAGAAUUCAGUGAAUCAUCGAAUCUUUGAACGCACAUUGCGCCCUCUGGUAUUCCGGAGGGCAUGCCUGUCCGAGCGUCAUUGCUGCCCUCAAGCACGGCUUGUGUGUUGGGCCCCGCCCCCCGAUCCCGGGGGGCGGGCCCGAAAGGCAGCGGCGGCACCGCGUCCGGUCCUCGAGCGUAUGGGGCUUUGUCACCCGCUCUGUAGGCCCGGCCGGCGCUUGCCGAUCAACCAAACUUUUUUCCAGGUUGACCUCGGAUCAGGUAGGGAUACCCGCUGAACUUAAGCAUAUCAAUAAGCGGAGGA